rnacentral:rRNA from 1 species
UACGAAGGGGGCUAGCGUUGCUCGGAAUGACUGGGCGUAAAGGGCGCGUAGGCGGCCUGUGUAGUCGGGUGUGAAAUUCCUGGGCUUAACCUGGGGGCUGCAUUCGAUACGCAUGGGCUGGAGUGGGGAAGAGGGUCGUGGAAUUCCCAGUGUAGAGGUGAAAUUCGUAGAUAUUGGGAAGAACACCGGUGGCGAAGGCGGCGACCUGGUCCUUGACUGACGCUGAGGCGCGAAAGCGUGGGGAGCAAACAGG